GACGAACGCUGGCGGCGUGCCUAACACAUGCAAGUCGAGCGGAGAUUGCAGUAAUGUAAUCUUAGCGGCGGACGGGUGAGUAACGCGUGGGCAACCUGCCUCAAACAGGGGGGAUAACACUGGGAAACUAGUGCUAAUACCGCAUAACAUCAAAGAAUGGCAUCAUUCAUUGAUCAAAGGAGAAAUCCGGUAUGAGAUGGGCCCGCGUCCGAUUAGCUAGUUGGUGGUGUAAUGGACCACCAAGGCGACGAUCGGUAGCCGAACUGAGAGGUUGAUCGGCCACAUUGGGACUGAGACACGGCCCAGACUCCUACGGGAGGCAG
rnacentral:rRNA from 1 species